GCUGGUCUGGAACUCCUGGGCUCAAGCAAUCCGCCUGCCUUGGCCUCCAAAUGCUGGGAUUACAGGCAUGAGCCACUGCCCCCAGCCAAUCAUCACUACUUUGGAGUCUCCACAACUAGCCAGGAGUCAAAAAAUUUGGCCAGAGAAGCCCCAGAACCCAGAGGAAAUUGAACAUUCUUCUGCAGGACAUUGAUCUGCUGUAGGAACCAGUUCAUGAACCACAUAAUGGAAGACCAGCUCCGUGUGAGAGAGUUCCAUGGUUCGCCAGAUAAAGUCCCGAAGCCCUACAGGGCCAUAGAUUUCAAUAGGCUGUUUGGACACCAUGGAGCCACUCUGCAGGCUGAUUGUGCAGAGGAGCCCAGGAAGGCCAAAGAAAUGGUCUCCAUGAAGUACACCUUGCCACCUCAACUCCUACUGUCUAAAAUGUUAACUGUCAAGUCUCUACUCUGGCCUGUGCCUGUCCAGAGGGCUCUCAUGAAGGUUCUCAUGAAAGGAAUCUCUGUACGAUCCAAGAAAAGCAAAGAAUAGCACCUGAAUUAUCUCAAAGUUUCAACACAAGACAGUAUAUAACUACGGUUCAAUUGUACCUACCAUAUGUCCCAAACAAUAUGCAUUAGCUCCUUCCUCCAACAACUCUUUUCCUGACUUCUUCUCUAGGUCCAGGACAUCACCAUCAGUAACUUGUAUUAAUUCUUCACUUCCUCACACACUAGACAUUCAGUGACCAUCUCCUCUUAUUUCUACAAGUAUCUCUUAAAUUGAAUCUCUCAUCUCCAUCUCUAUACUUCAAUAUCCUCAUUCUCUCUCUCUCUCACACACACACACAUAUACACAGUGAUGAUAUGGUUUGUGUCCCCACCCAAAUCUCAUCUUGAACUGUAGCUCCCAUAAUCCCUACAUCAUGGGAGGGACCCGGUGGGAAGUAAUUGAAUCAUGGGAGCAGGUUUUCUCAUGCUGUUCUCGUGACAGUGAAUAAGUCUCACGAGGUCUGAUGGUUUGAUAAAGGGGAGUUCCCCUGCACAUGCUCUCUUGCCUGCCACCAUGUAAGACAUACCUUUGCCUUUGCCUUCCACCAUGAUUGUGGGGCCUCCCCAGCCUUGCGGAACUGCGAUUAGUUCAUUAAACCUCUUUUUUUUUUAAAUAAAUUACUCAGUCUUGGGUAUUUCUUCAUAGCAGUAUGAAAAUGGCCUGAUACAGUAAAUUGGUACUGGUAGAGUGGGAUAAUGCUAUAAGGAUACCUGAAAAUGUGGAAGUGACUUUGGAACUGGGUAGCAGGCAGAGGCUGGAACAGUUUGGAGGGCUCAAAAGGAGACAGGAAAAUAUGGGAAGGUUUAGAAUUUCCUAGAGACUUGGAGGGCUCAGAAGACAGGAAGACAUGGGAAAGUUUGGAAUUUCCUGUUGAAUGGUUUUGACCAAAAAGUCCAGGCUGAGGUGGUCUCAGAUGGAGA
rnacentral:lncRNA from 1 species